CUUUAAAAAACCCAAAAAACGACGUAAAGCAGCAGUUCAUGCCCAUCCUCUCUCUCAAUCGCCAUUGGAAUCAAUCAGAUUCUUUUAUUAUUCAAAGCAGCAAAGCAAACCACAGAUUUACAAAAACCCUAAUGGCAUGUGAAUCCCCCAAUUAUACUUUGUCCUCUGAUUAAUCUAACCAUGUAUUUCUCUUAACCUCUCAAAUUUUCCAUACAAAAUUUCACCAACCAAUCCUCAAAAUUUCACCAACCAAUCCUCCAUUAGAGCGAACAAAGUAGAGCGACAGAGAGAGAGAGGGGGGAGAAAUGCCUAGCGUCGCCGUCAAGUUGUAUAGUGUCUUCUUCAAGUUCCUCUUGAAGCACCGUUUGCAGAAUCGGAUCCAAACCCCACAUGAUGAUUCUAAUCCCUUCGGCAUUACAACCCGACCCGAAGAGUCCGUCUCCGCUGCCAAUCCGUCAUUUGCCGAUGGCUUCGCCACAAAGGAUAUUCAUAUCGACCCUUUAACCUCUCUCUCUGUAAGGAUCUUCCUUCCUGAGUCUGCUCUUAAUCCUCCUGAACCUGAUUCUAAGCACCAUUCCAAACUUAAAUCCAAGCCUAACCCUAGAUGGCUCGGUCUUGAUCAAAAUGACAGCUCCACCGCCUUCAUUCCCAAUCACCACCUCCAGACUCUACGCCGUAAUAG
rnacentral:misc_RNA from 1 species